UGGGGAAUUUUGGACAAUGGGGGAAACCCUGAUCCAGCCAUCCCGCGUGUGCGAUGAAGGCCUUCGGGUUGUAAAGCACUUUUGGCAGGAAAGAAACGUCGCGGGUUAAUACCCCGCGAAACUGACGGUACCUGCAGAAUAAGCACCGGCUAACUACGUGCCAGCAGCCGCGGUAAUACGUAGGGUGCAAGCGUUAAUCGGAAUUACUGGGCGUAAAGCGUGCGCAGGCGGUUCGGAAAGAAAGAUGUGAAAUCCCAGAGCUUAACUUUGGAACUGCAUUUUUAACUACCGGGCUAGAGUGUGUCAGAGGGAGGUGGAAUUCCGCGUGUAGCAGUGAAAUGCGUAGAUAUGCGGAGGAACACCGAUGGCGAAGGCAGCCUCCUGGGAUAACACUGACGCUCAUGCACGAAAAGCGUGGGGAGCAAACAGGAUUAGAUACCCUGGUAGUCCACGCCCUAAACGAUGUCAACUAGCUGUUGGGGCCUUCGGGCCUUGGUAGCGCAGCUAACGCGUGAAGUUGACCGCCUGGGGGAGUACGGUCGCAAGAUUAAAACUCAAAGGAAUUGAAC
rnacentral:rRNA from 1 species